rnacentral:rRNA from 1 species
CUGGCGGCGGCUUACCAUGCAGUCGAACGGGCGUAGCAAUACGUCAGUGGCAGACGGGUGAGUAACGCGUGGGAACGUACCUUUUGGUUCGGAACAACUGAGGGAAACUUCAGCUAAUACCGGAUAAGCCCUUACGGGGAAAGAUUUAUCGCCGAAAGAUCGGCCCGCGUCUGAUUAGCUAGUUGGUGAGGUAAUGGCUCACCAAGGCGACGAUCAGUAGCUGGUCUGAGAGGAUGAUCAGCCACAUUGGGACUGAGACACGGCCCAAACUCCUACGGGAGGCAGCAGUGGGGAAUAUUGGACAAUGGGGGCAACCCUGAUCCAGCCAUGCCGCGUGAGUGAUGAAGGCCCUAGGGUUGUAAAGCUCUUUUGUGCGGGAAGAUAAUGACGGUACCGCAAGAAUAAGCCCCGGCUAACUUCGUGCCAGCAGCCGCGGUAAUACGAAGGGGGCUAGCGUUGCUCGGAAUCACUGGGCGUAAAGGGUGCGUAGGCGGGUUUCUAAGUCAGAGGUGAAAGCCUGGAGCUCAACUCCAGAACUGCCUUUGAUACUGGAAGUCUUGAGUAUGGCAGAGGUGAGUGGAACUGCGAGUGUAGAGGUGAAAUUCGUAGAUAUUCGCAAGAACACCAGUGGCGAAGGCGGCUCACUGGGCCAUUACUGACGCUGAGGCACGAAAGCGUGGGGAGCAAACAGGAUUAGAUACCCUGGUAGUCCACGCCGUAACGAUGAAUGCCAGCCGUUAGUGGGUUUACUCACUAGUGGCGCAGCUAACGCUUUAAGCAUUCCGCCUGGGGAGUACGGUCGCAGAUUAAACUCAAAGGA